UACGUAGGGACCAAGCGUUGUUCGGAUUUACUGGGCGUAAAGGGCGCGUAGGCGGCGUGUUAAGUCAGCUGUGAAAUCUCCAAGCUUAACUUGGAACGGUCAGCUGAUACUGAUGUGCUAGAGUGCAGAAGGGGCAAUCGGAAUUCUUGGUGUAGCGGUGAAAUGCGUAGAGAUGUGGAGGAACACCUGUGGCGAAGGCGCCUUGCUGGCCGAUUUCUGACGCUGAGGCGCGAAAGCGUGGGGAGCAAACAGG
rnacentral:rRNA from 1 species